UACGAGUGCCCCGAGCGUUAUCCGGAAUCAUUGGGCGUAAAGGGUGUGUAGGUGGUCAGAUUAGUCUUGUGUUAAAUUCUUCGGCUUAACCGGGGGCAUGCAUAGGAAACGGUCUGACUUGAGGAUGCGAGAGGUGUGUGGAACUCAUGGUGUAGGGGUGAAAUCCGUUGAUAUCAUGGGGAACACCAAAAGCGAAGGCAACACACUGGCGCAUUCCUGACACUGAAACACUAAAGCGUGGGUAGCGAAUGGG
rnacentral:rRNA from 1 species